CGCUUCGGUGACCUAGUGGUUAGAGCGUCUGCCUCGGAUGCAAAAAGUCGUGGGUUCGAUCCCCGGCCAAGUCA